GUAUGGGUUUGUAUUUCUGGCAAGCCCAUUGCCCUGGGCCGCUCAUUGUAUCCGAUGCCAGAGCACUGUGGCCCUAAAUCACUCUGGCCUCUGUGCCCACAGGCUGCACUGGCACUGAAGUAAGCUGUACAGUA
ensembl:snoRNA